UACGGAGGGAGCUAGCGUUGUUCGGAAUUACUGGGCGUAAAGCGCACGUAGGCGGCUAUUCAAGUCAGAGGUGAAAGCCCAGGGCUCAACCUUGGAACUGCCUUUGAAACUAGAUAGCUAGAAUUCUGGAGAGGUCAGUGGAAUUCCGAGUGUAGAGGUGAAAUUCGUAGAUAUUCGGAAGAACACCAGUGGCGAAGGCGACUGACUGGACAGAUAUUGACGCUGAGGUGCGAAAGCGUGGGGAGCAAACAGG
rnacentral:rRNA from 1 species